GAGACAAAAGGUCGUCACAUGGCCAAUAAAUCUCUCUGGAAAAAUUUAGGACAGUCCUUUUUGCACCCCCUGGUCAGAUGAAAUGAAGAGUUACCAUCCAUGUUCCAGCUCUCCACGUGCUUUCACCUCCCUUCCCUAGGAAACCUCAAUUCUUUCAACCUUCUCUUGAAGGUUUUAUUUUCAUUCUCUACUCUAAUUUCCAUUGCCUUCUCAGGAAACCUGCCAACUGUUUCCACAUCUUGCUUACGUUGCCAAGCUCAGAGAUGAAGAGGAUUCUAAUAGGGAUUUGACAAACGUCGAGUAUAAUAUACAGAAGGUUAACUUUUGGUCCGUACAAGUUAAGCUCCUAUUAUACAUUCUAGUCCCGUAUUUACUCUGGAAAUGGAUGUACUAUAUUCAGGAUCACCCUUUAUUUUAUGGUCCCUUUCAAACUUUGUCUGCCAUAAGAUGUCAAAAGAAUGCCUACAAGAUUCAUCCAAGUUGUCAUGUGCAGACGUCCACAAUUCAUUCCUAUUUACUGCGGACAAGUAUUCCACUGUGUGGAUGAACUACAAUUUGUUUCCAGCAGGUAACCACUGAUCUUUGUUUUUAGGACUCCUUCCAGAGACUUUUUCUAACACGGCCAUAUAAUAUCCCACUGUGUAACGACACACCAGCCCUCC